rnacentral:ncRNA from 1 species
AAAUCAAGCGCCUGAACUCAGGGCAGUCCGCCUUGAGUUGACGAGGGUUGGGAUUUAUCGAAGUUUUCGGCGGAUGAUCCCACGGCCUGUCCACGGCCGUUAAAGGCUGUACAAAACCGGUAAGCGAUUAUCGGAACAAAAAC